CCUACGGGAGGCAGCAGUGAGGAAUAUUGGACAAUGGGCGAGAGCCUGAUCCAGCCAUGCCGCGUGCAGGAUGACGGCCCUAUGGGUUGUAAACUGCUUUUAUACAGGAAGAAACACCCCGACGUGUCGGGACUUGACGGUACUGUAAGAAUAAGGAUCGGCUAACUCCGUGCCAGCAGCCGCGGUAAU
rnacentral:rRNA from 1 species